CCUGCGCUUGCCAGGCAGGCGGCAGAACCACUGAGCUAAAUCCCCGGCCCUCUGAGAGCCUAAGAUGGAUGGUGUCCCUUCGCAUAUAUAAAAGGAGUAAGUCGUAAGAAAAUAGAGGAAGAUUUUAAAAAGACUUGGGAUGGUAAAGUUGAAGCUAAGCAGGCCGGGGAACCCAAGUCACACAAAGAUUCAUUUUAUAGAAAUUAAAAACAUGGUGACAAAUAGUAAUUGAAUGUUGGGAUAAAAUAUUGGUGAUCUAUAGCACGGGCAGAUUUAAAUAAGGUUUAAUAUAGCAUAGCUAAAGAUAUAGUUAUUACCCCAGGUUUAAUAAAGUAUUGGUAACUAGGAUGGUGACACUGAUGCACAUAAUGACUUCUCGAAAAAAGUUGGGUAGGGUAAGAUCCGGAGUCAGCAAAUGCUAAGCAGAGCCCUGUCUGUCUUAAGCCAGUUUUCUUGUAGAGCUUGGGAUACAAGCUGUGACUUGUGCGCCACAGAUCCUGUGAUUACCGCCCGCGGUGCUGACGUGAAGUGCUCAGCUGUGCUCAUCUAGCCCGAAUGCUGUGCUCCAACUGGGAGAAUCGGCCUCCCGGUGAGGAAUCACCCUGUCCUACUUUGAAAAGGACAUAGUUCAAGGAUGAAGAACAGAGCCUUUUUUCUCCUGAGAGAACAUAUUUUAGACAAGACAUAAGUGGAAUCUUGCUAACCAGUCUGCUGAAUUCUUUUAGGAUAGACGUGCAUCUGCCUCUCUGGCCACUACCGUGUUUUGGAUUCUGGGAGACAGUGGCUCACUGCUGUGCAGAAGGUUAUCUGCUGUGUUGAGUCCAGUAGUUUCAAGCUGAUGUUUCCCAGAACAAUAAUCCAUCCUAGCACUGCUCAGAAGAUCCCUGUGGACUGAGGAUUCACUAACCUUCACAGACUGGCUCAGGGCUCUAGCACCUCUGAUUCUCUGCAGAUGAUCCCUAAUAACCUGGCAAGCAGUGGUCCAGACAUCAAGAAGUAUGCCAAAGAAAUGGAAGAUCCAUCUUCUUCAUUCUUUUCAGACUGGUGGGAGCCACACAGCAAGAGCAUUGCCAUUACGAUAAUAGAAUGAUCAAACGUAACAACACCAACCUAAAAAUGAUACUAAUUUUCAAAAUACAAUGAUACAACAAGUAUAUUUAAUGGGAUUGAAUUCAGGACCUUGAGCUUGCAAGGCAG